GGGGAAGAAAGUGGGACUUCUAAAUUCAGUGGGAAGAGAGAAAGAAUGGUAAUGGUUUCUGGAGAGGAGCAACAGUAAAUACAUGCAUUGUAUUUUUCCCAUAUCUGAAGCAAAAGCCAUAGCACUAUGAUUUAAACUUGCAGUCACCAGAAUGCUUUUUUUUUUUUUUUCCUUUUGUAGUAUAUUCUUGUGCUGAGUCUUCAUAUCUUAUCCUAGGUUUCAUACAUCUUAGGGAGCAUUAGUAUAACAAAUUUAGAGUGCUUCAAACCUCUAAGGCUUAUUAUUUUAUUACUAGGAUCUUGUAACUUAAGCAGCAUACAGAUGAAAGUUUGUCAGCAUUGCCUGAUUAUUUUUAAGGGAAAAUGUUCCUGACUACUAGGAGCUAGAGACAGAUCACACCUGAGAAAGGAACUCUCAAAUCAGGUUCUUGGUCUAUAUAAGCAUCUCUCACACAUGCAGCUGGUUUGAUAUGAUGACAACACUCCCUGUGCCCUCAGCAGAGAGGGGCUUCCUAAUAUAGAGCAGUUUCAAGGAGACAUUCUCCAAGUAAUUUUGGACUCAUGUUUAGCAUUCCUGUCAAGAACUACGGUUUCAUCCUUAACAUUAGAAAAGCAGAACUUGAGAAGAACUGUCAGGCACCAGAUCUGAUGGCAACAACAAUUGCAGUGGGUGAGAACAAACUUUCCCAGCAUUACCUUCCUGUAAGGGUAACUUAAAAAAGGCUAUGAUGGAUGUAUCAAGUGAGAUUUUUCUUCAAUAUGUGAAUUUCUCAGACCUCAGACUGAACCUGAACCUGAUGUGUGUCAGGAUGGCAGGUUUCAGAAGACUUGUAUACUAAACUUCUCAGCUUUUAUAGCUAGUUGAAGAUAACUCAUGAAAUUGAAGAUCCAGUCAUUCCCG
rnacentral:lncRNA from 1 species